AGUUAAUCGAUGCUGAAUAUCGUUUGUGAGAGUCAUCUUAUCAUAUGCUGGCUUGCUGUGACACUUCAAUAUGGCCUUGAGUGGUCAUUGACGCAAGUAGGAUGGCGGCCAAUGUUUCCCAGGCUCAGCUUUUGGGUAAAAGGACCUCACGUGGUGAUGCUGAUCCGCCUUUGAAGCGAAUUUUAAGAGAACAUGAAGAUACGAAUAGCACAACAGGAAUUCAAUCGAAAGAAGCUAUUGUUGGUGACAACUCACGCAAUCAUUGCAUCGAGGCUGAGCUGCACCCAGCAUGUAACCCAAUCACUUGGAAAAAUGGUGACCCACCAUGCUGUAGGGAACUUGUGCUGUACAGCAUAUUGCAGACCAGCUUCCCCACAAACUCGUUUAGAGCGCGGGACGCAGCAUUGCUGGCCUUUGAACGUGCAGUGAACGGUGCAAAUCGAAUUUUGAAUUGC